rnacentral:rRNA from 1 species
CGAUGCAACGCGAAGAACCUUACCUGGUCUUGACAUCCCGGAGACCCUUAGGAACUAGGGGUGCUUCCAUCUGGAAGAAUCUGGAGACAGGUGCUGCAUGGCUGUCGUCAGCUCGUGUCGUGAGAUGUUGGGUUAAGUCCCGCAACGAGCGCAACCCUUGCCUUUAGUUGCCAGCAGUUCGGCUGGGCACUCUAAAGGGACUGCCGGUGUUAAACCGGAGGAAGUGGGGAUGACGUCAAGUCCUCAUGGCCUUUAUGACCAGGGCUACACACGUACUACAAUGGCCGAUACAAAGGGCAGCGACACUGCGAGGUGAAGCCAAUCCCGUAAAAUCGGUCUCAGUCCGGAUUGGAGUCUGCAACUCGACUCCAUGAAGUUGGAAUCGCUAGUAAUCGUGGAUCAGCAUGCCACGGUGAAUACGUUCCCGGGCCUU